rnacentral:misc_RNA from 1 species
GAUGAAGAACGUAGCGAAAUGCGAUACGUAAUGUGAAUUGCAGAAUUCAGUGAAUCAUCGAGUCUUUGAACGCACAUUGCGCCCCCUGGUAUUCCGGGGGGCAUGCCUGUCCGAGCGUCAUUGCUGCCCUCAAGCACGGCUUGUGUGUUGGGCCUCCGUCCUCCUCCCGGGGGACGGGCCCGAAAGGCAGCGGCGGCACCGCGUCCGGUCCUCGAGCGUAUGGGGCUUCGUCACCCGCUCUUGUAGGCCCGGCCGGCGCUUGCCGACACAUCAAUCUUUUUUCCAGGUUGACCUCGGAUCAGGUAGGGAUACCCGCUGAACUUAAGCAUAUCAAUAAACGGAGG